rnacentral:lncRNA from 1 species
AGUGUUUCACACCUAAAAAUUUUAUUUUAAAAAAUCUAGUAUAGUGAUAAAUCCAAAAAUUUAUUGAAAACCAUUUUCCACCCAAAAACUCAUUCAUUUGAAAUCUGAAUACCACGAGGAGUAGAAAAAUAUUUUGUCAUAAAACCACAAGUAUAAGAUCACCACUACCAUAGAUAGUAACAAAAAUCUAUCCAUUUAUUCUCAAAUAUAAACAAUCACAUUAACUAAACAAUCACCUAACUAAACCACAAUACAAUCUACUUUAUUAAUGAAUAAC